GGCAAUCCCCCUACCUGGCCAACGGGGACGAAUGGGCAGGGUCCCAGACCCUCUCACCUUGGAGACAUCCAAGGACUAGUAAGGUCACUGAGGGGGAUGCCUCCAAGGCCUAGGAAGUAGGUAAUGGUAGAAGGCGACGCCCUUGCUGUUACCAAAGCUGAGAGCAAAACUCACAGGAUGCCCUGAUUUUUGUGCUGUUUUCUUUUCUAUCCACUUUAGGUAUAAACACCAUAGGAGGUGCCCCUUCAGUACCCGAGCAGUCCCUCUUAGGACGCAUCCUGAAAAACUGGAAGGAAUUCAACGUUGAUGAGCUAAAACACAAGAAACUCAUCUUUUUCUGCAACACAUUUUGGCCUCAAUACAAGUAAGCGUCAGGGAAACCUGGCUCCAAAAUGGCUCUUCAAAUUAUGACACUAUUUCACAACUGGAUUUAUUUUGCAGGAAACUAGAGAAAUAGACUGAGGAUCCUUACGUGCAGGCUUUUAUGAUGCUAUACCAAAACGCUUCAUUGAAGGAAUCAUGUCAGAUUUGUUUCACUGAACCAAAGAAAAGAGACCAAAAUACCCCAGAUAUUUUAGAUGACAACCCCAACUCCUCCUUCCCUUCCCUGGGAUUGGCUAAGGCCUCUCCUUAUCUAGAUAAUGCCCUGAUAGUGGGACAAUGCAUGCUAGGCCAACUAAGUAAUCACAGGGACCUCAGUAUAACCAUUUAUAAUCCCAUUCCUGAAAUAAGAGGGCAACUGGACUCAUCCUGGCAAAAAAAGGAGUUGCUAUUGGUUUGGCAGCUCCACGGGGCAGGGGGGAGGGGGCUUUGCCUACCACGAGGCAACACUUUAUAACCUGUCAGAUACUCUGUCUACCCUGGCCAGGACCAGAGGGGACUCACUCUCUAGACUCUCAACAUCUCUUAAUUCCCUAGCUAAUGUGGUGAUGGAUAAUAGACUGGUCUUGGAUUAUCUCCUAGCUGAGCAGGUUGCAACAAUUUGACAUAAACAUGAUGGUCAUACAGGGACUCCAGCCACUGCCUACUGCUGAGGCCUCUAUGGAAAUCUUGGGACUCCUUGACCAGAAAGGAGGAAAGUUUCAUUCCCAGGGUCAGACAAGGGAAGACUGCCCCUGCCAGCUUGAAGAAGUUACAGAAGAAUGAGACUUUUGGCCCUGAAUAACCCCAAAAGAUUUUGGAAAGGAACUCUUUCAGGGUGGAAUUGAGGCAGGAAAGACAGGGCUGGACCCAAGGACAGCCUCCUCAAACACAGACUUUAGGCAACAGGCAAAGCCACCUCUCCUUGUUUUGCACUUAAUGAGACUGUGAAGCAUGGAGGAAUGGCCAUCAGCAACAAGAACAUAAAUUAAACCUUGAUUAAACUUCGUGAUACCUAAACAGAGAACCCUAACCAGAAAACCCACAGAGCUAGAGCUUGGCGGAGCAUGAGCAAUAAAAAUGCACAGGCUGCGGGUGGCUGCUAUACAACCUUCCACACCUGGCGCUAAGGAAAAUUUAAGGGAAAACAGCUUUCAGAAGUGCGGUGGCUUUAAAAGACCAAUGGGCAAGAGAAGCUGACGUAACCAGGUGCAAUCAAGAUCCCACCGCAGGGGUGGUGGUCACAAAACUCCUCGGGUGCGCCCCUCACUCGCGAGGACGCCCUCAUUCUUCUCUGAGUACGUACUUUCCCUUCUGCCCCUUAAUAAAUUGCUUCUUUGUUUCUC